rnacentral:piRNA from 1 species
UAGAACUUAAGAUGAUGUUUUAGUUGUAGC